ACACACACCUGCACAGGUGAGCCCCAUCAAGACAUUUAAAGGCUGCCAGUGGACUGUGUGGAUGUGAGUGCUUUUACAUGCACUAAAUAACCUGGCCAGCAAAAUGGUUUCAUGCUGUGGAUUCCUCCUUCACACUAAAUGGAUCCUGAGAGGAAACCCGGCUCUCCGCCCGCCCGCUGCCGUCAGGAGCCUCGCUGCUGUAAGACGGCGACAGAUUUGUGAUUAAACGGCCACUUUGUCAUGCGAGAGGGACAUAAUGCAUCAACACAGCUCUGCUCCUGUUUCCUCUCCGUCCCAAAGCUCUCUCAGCUGCAGCUCCUUCGUCUUGUCGUUGUCGAGCACGUCGGUGCCCGAGGCGUGAGCUUCCCUCUCCGCCUGUUUCUGCUGGAGGACGAGCCGAGGUGCAGGAUCGGCCAAAAGCAAGCAGAGACUUGGCCUGCAGGAGGGUCUCGUGUUUGUGUUGUGACCGGCGUCCAGCUGCCAGGUGAACAUCCUCAAUCACCCUCAUGUUUCGGGAAACGCGCUCAUCGACGCGGCAGAAUACAGACUCGGCGCCUCAGUCGUUCAGAGUGUGAGCCCUGAAGCCGGAGCAGAGAUCAGCACGCCGUCUCAUUCCCAGUGAAAGGAAGCAGAUCGCUGUUUCUGUGAAGAGAGCUGUGUGAUAAUCCUCAUCCCAUCUGGUCACUGUAAAACACCGUAACUAGUCGUUUAGCUCACUGCUCUCUACCAAAACACAAUGUUUUCAAUUUUUCUUAAAACAAAUUACAUAACAUUACUCCCCAUAUUUUUCACAUAAGAGUGUAAGAUGCUUUUAACAAGUAAUCUAGUUCGUUACUUGGCCCUCAGAUCACUCAUCUUGUAACACCUUACUUAAUAUUCCCAAUAUUUUUAAUGUGAAAUCAUUUUACACUGCAAAAAGUGCAGCACUGAAGUACAGUUUUGAGGUACUUGGCACUUUAUACUUCUACAUUUCAGAGGAAAAUGUUUUUUACUCUAUUACAUUUAUCUGACAGUUAGUUACUUUUUAGAUUAACAUUUAAGAAUAUAUGAAAAAGAUCAUUUCUCUGCAUAACGAGUACUUUUACUUGUGAUGUUUUUAGGACAUUUUGCUGCUAAUACUUAAUCUGUAUUUUUACUAAAGUGGGAUUUUGAAUGCAAGACUUUUUACUUGUAAUGUAAAAUGUAUUUUUAGAUUUAUGGAGAAUUUUAAAAAAAAAGUUUUGUUACGCUUUUCUAAAGGUGGUAUUAAAGUUUUUAAGAAAAGCAAAUCAAUUCAUUUCAGCAGCGGGGACGGAGAGCCAGAGUAUAAACUGCUCCACAGCACGGUUAGGACACAGGACACAAAUGC